UACGUAGGGUGCAAGCGUUAAUCGGAAUUACUGGGCGUAAAGCGUGCGCAGGCGGUCUCGUAAGUCAGAUGUGAAAUCCCCGAGCUCAACUUGGGAACUGCAUCCGAAACUGCGAGACUAGAGUGUGUCAGAGGGAGGUAGAAUUCCACGUGUAGCAGUGAAAUGCGUAGAUAUGUGGAGGAAUACCAGUGGCGAAGGCGGCCUCCUGGGAUAACACUGACGCUCAUGUACGAAAGCGUGGGGAGCAAACAGG
rnacentral:rRNA from 1 species